GGGUCUCAUGGAAAAUGUGGACAACAGGACAGAGCAGCAGGAAAAUUCAAGGAGGGAGACCAGAACUCUGAAAAGGGUCACAAGGGAAUGCUAGAAACCAAACUUGCUGUAAUAGGAGUGAUGUCAAUCUUGAUAGACUCAACAGUAGACUGAGGAGAGAAUCAAUGAUUCUGAUGGUGUUCCAGCAGAAACCUCUGAAAUCUAGACACGGUAAGAAUGUGGGGUGAAAUAUGGAUCAGAUUCCAAAAACUAGCUAUUUAAAAGGUAUUUUAUACACAUAUAUGGGAGUGCCAAAUGAGAGGAGGGGAAAAGAAAGGAAUAAAAGAAAUACUUAAAGUAAUUAAGGCUGAAAAUUUCCUUAAAGGUCAUUAAAAAUCCCUAUGGAAUUGUAUCUUCCUUAAUGACAGACACAUAAAUAGAGGAGAUCACUGUGGAAAAGACUGACUGUUGAAUGCUUUCCAUAAAGUUCAAAAUACAUGAAUGUCAGUUCUCAUAACUUCUGUUUGAAACUGAAUGUCCCCAGUGAUCUACUUCUUUCAUCCAGGACCUACCCACCUAAGUUAUUACCCAAUUGCCCACUCAUACUAUUAAUCCUUCAAGUGAAUUAACCCUCUAAUGAGGCUAGAGCUCUCAUAAGCUAAUCAUAGCACCAUAAAAAUUCCUGCAUUGCCUGACAUAUGAAGCUAAUAUGGGGACAUCCUGUACCCAAACUAUGGCACCUCACUUGCACUAAUUUUUCUUGGGAUGAUUUUCAUGACCUCUGUGAAUCAAGAUUUGGUACUAAUAAAAAAAAAUUACCUCUCACCAGUCACAGAAAACUGAAACACUUAAAUGCGUAUUGCAAACAACAUAUUCUGUAAAAAAUUGCAGAGCAGGUAUCAGAGUUCCUCUGGUUAGUUUACAGAGUAUUUGCAGAUCAAUGUCCAAAGAUGACUGCAGUUCAUUGCCCACAAUGAGAAUUUUUGCAAAGUAGAUCAUUAACAGACUUAAUGGCAGAAAGCAACUCAGCAAAAUACCUCCCUCAGUGAUUUAAAGAAAACAGCCACCUAAAUAACCUGAUAAAGACUAGGGGAUAGUAGCUGCCACAGAGCUGAAGAGGGGACCAUUAAGGAGUAAGUGAGGUCAGGAUCAACACCCCUUGCUGUGUCACAGGGAAAGACAUUAGAACAAUUUUCUUUGAACUUAUCUAGGUACAACAACUUUACCUUCAGUCAGGGAGAGUCAUUCAGCCACCAUGGCUUUUCAGGACCUCCUAGAUCAAGUUGGUGGUAUGGGGAGGUUCCAGAUAAUUCAGAUGGUUUUUCUUCUUCUCUGCAAUGCCAUGGUGGCCCCUCAUAUUAUGUUGGACAACUUCACUGCUGUCAUCCUUGGUCAUCGCUGCUGGGUCCACAUCCUCGACAAUGACACAGUCUCUGACAAUGCCACUGGGACCCUCAGCCAGGACACCCUCCUGAGGAUCUCCAUCCCACUAGACUCAAUCCUGAGGCCAGAGAAGUGCUGGUGCUUCAUCCACCCACAAUGGCAGUUCCUUCAUCAGAAUGGGACCUUCUCAAACAUGAGUGAGCCAGACACAGAGCCCUGCAUGGAUGGCUGGUUAUAUGACCAAAGCUACUUCCUCUCCACCACUGUGACUGAGUGGGACCUGUUGUGUGAAUCUCAGUCACUGAAUUCAGUGGCUAAAUUUUUCUUCAUGGCUAGAAUGUUGAUGGGAAGCAUUGUAUGUGGUUAUUUGACAGACAGUGACAAGGAAAUGGAGUUAUAGCAAUAUCAGUCACCUUGCCCAGGGUAUACAACUGGCUGUGAGAUCCACCAUGAAGGAGGAGCUGCAGGCAGCACAGAAAAAACCUUCUCUGUGUGACAGUGUUCCACACAACAGAAGACAGAUCUUUCUUCUGUCCUUGGUGAGAAAUGCAGACCAUUCAUACAAUUUUGACAACUUUGGGAGGAGGACUUUCUUUUGCCUCUGUUUCCUGUUGUCUUUCUUUGUCAAAUGAACUGCUCCUCACAGUUGUCAGGUACAAAUUCUCCUAGGUUCCCUGUCAGGGUUAAAUCAUCCCUUCCCAGCUCAAUGACUUAUUGAAGGAAGAAACCAAAAGUAAUGAUGGUAAUGAUAACAUUUAUAGCCAGAAUUUACCCAAUGUUAGCUUUUUGCCAGAGAAUUUUGGGUGUCCUCAUGUACCACUAAUGUACAUCUCAUGGAUUCCUUGGAGUCACCUAAAUUAGAGAUGCUAUUGUGCAAGUCACAAUAGCCAAGUUAUGGAUCCAGCCCAGGUGUCCAUCAACAGAUGAGUGAAUAAAGAAAAUAUGUUACAUAUACACACUGGAGUGUAUGCAGCCAUAUAGAAGACCAAAAUUAUGCCAUUUGCAGGUGAAUCAAUGGAAUUGUAGAAGAGCAUGCUGAGUGAAAUAAGCCAGACUCAGAAACAGAAGGGUUGAUUGUUUUAUCUAUUUGGAAGCUAGAAUGUUAGCAAGAGCAUGAAUUUUCAUUAAAAGAGAAGGGAGUCCUCUGGAGUAGAGAAUGGGGAUUGGAGGUGAGGAACUGUACAAUGAACUUGAACAAAUUAUGUUCAUAUGCACAUAUAUCACAACAAAUCCCCUCAUUUGGUAUAAUUAUAAUGCACCAAUUCAGGAAAUAAUGCAUAAUAAAUAAAAUAAAUGAGCAACAAUAUUUUUAAAUGAUAAAACAUGUCUUAGUAAUCUGUGAACUUGAGAGUAAUUGUUAUCCAACCAAACAAAAUUUGAGCAAGUCAUCAAUCUUCACAUGCCUAAGCGUACCCCUUGUUAUCUCACAUAAUCAAUGCAAAAAGUUGACAAAAACCCCUUGUGCAUUAUCCCCAGGUUAAUUUUGCGAUUUUUUUUUGUUGUUGUUUUUUGUGCUCCAGAGUAACAUGUUUAGGAAUCAUUGGAGUUUGCAAUUACGUGGGGGCAGCCCUAGUGCCCCUGUUGAUGAUCCUGGAGACAUAUACAGCACCCAUUCCCUAGGUCAUUUAUGGAGUGUCCUGUAUCCUUCCAGGCCUUACUGUCUUGCUCCUUCCGGAAACCAGGAACCAGCCUCUGCCUGAUUCCCUCCAAGAUAUAGAAAAUGAGUGAGUGAACUCUCUCAGGGUCCUUUACAGGUGUUUUGUGCCAUGGGUCUGAGAUGGAAACAGAUUCCACUGGAGCCACUGUAUCUUUGACAAGCUGAGACCUACAUUCUUUCUGGUAGUUAGUUCCCUUUGUUUAGUAAAAGCAAUAUUCUUUCACCAGCAAUCUCAGAAGUCCCCCUGAAGAUCUUCAGAGCAUACAAACCAUGUCAACCCAACCUGUAUCAGUAGUUUCCAUGGUAAAUGGUACAAAAUUAGGUCUCCCCUGUGUUCCUGAUCACAGUGAGACACAGGCUUCUGAGGGUAUUUCACACCCAAGACCAAUAUUAAUGCAAAUUUCGCCCUUCUUGUCCUACUAUCCUGUAACCUACUGAGGGCUGAGAGAUUUUUAUCACUGUAACUUCUUAUAGGCUGGAGGCUUUCCCUGGUCAUGGAAGAACCCAGGGGAAAUCAAGACAGGAUGAGGGCCCUUUUCACAGGUGACAAUAUAUCUAAGGAAAGAGGCUUCAUGUGUUGCCAUGAGAUUCAGAUCAUUCAGUUUACACUCAGAAUGAAAGUGUUCAUAAAAGGGCAGAGCGCAAUGAUAAAUAAAGGAAUUUUAUAAUGAUGAAGGUUUGAGGAAGGUUUUUAAACUUUUGUGUACUUCCCUGGUGCUUUCAGAGACUACUUUGGAGAAUGACAUGAUACCCAAGGACGACAGUAGAAAUGAUCAAAGCUGCUUUCCAAAUACUUCCAGAAGGUGUUUUCUUUUACUUCAUGUGAUUUACUCAAAUCCUUGGGCAGGUAUCAUGUUUUUUUGUACCAAGGUUGGUGGAGGAAGGAUCAGCUUGCUCUAAAGAAUGCUGGAGAUACCUUGUUUCUCUAUGUCCUUUUAUGUUUGUGUUUAUUUCAUUGUGGUUUUACCAUAUCUGUUCUAGGGGGAAAGUCUCCAGAGAAGUGAAGCAGGAAGAUCUCUCCAUCAAAGUGACACAGUUCUAAGGAAUUACAGUAAUUGAGUACUGAUCAAAGAGGAAGAAAAAGAAAGAAAUAUCAAGAUCACUCUUGGACACUAGAA